AGAAGCUUCUGUGGCUGUUGAGUUACAGGUGUGUCUGCAGGGAGGACUUCUCAAGCCCCAGGGCCAGAUGCUUGGCCCCAACCCAGCUCCCAUGGCAUGGGUCCUCCAAAAGGAAAGACCCAAUUAUUUGCCGCCAAAACGUCUCAUGACUCAGAUGAAUUCUGGAGACAAACACAGAAGGAAGCACCCCGAGGACAAGUGAUGGAACAAAAGGCUGUUCAGGAGGAGGAACACUCAGGGAGAAGCAGUGGCUCAUUGGCAGCCCUAGCUGCAGGAAGGAAGGCAAUGCCAGACACGGGCACAGCCACAGCAGAUGCAGCCGGCACCACAACACCUGUUCCCAAUGCCCAGGAUGGCCUCGGAAGGGGUUUCUAUCAGGAAACAGGCUACUGGCUAGCAAUACUGGCAUUUAUGUUUUGUUUGGAGCUUGUCUUCGUGUUGUGCUUGUUUGGAAUCCGGUAUUUGGAAUCGGGAAGAGAAAACAGAGCACCUCGGGACAGGAGUUGAAAGACGGUGGCUGCACCUCACACCCAGAGAGCCUGAGCAGCUCCUCCAGCAGCAGGAACGGCCCGGACAGCCCUCUCAAGUGUUCUGUGAAGAGGACCCCAGAAGAGCCGUCGACAAGGAAGCGUCUUAUUGCCCCGUAGAUCCCACUGCCACCUGCUCUCCCCAUGGGCCUCCCCAAGCUUCCUUUAUUCCUUUUUUUCUCUCCGUCUGUCCCAUCCCAGCCAACCCGAGUUCCGCUAGGGACCCCAGGACCAGCCCAGCACUUUCCAGCACCUCCUGAGACCAACACAUCCCUUCCUCUGCCCCUGAGCCCCCUGGCCUUGCCCUCUAGGCAACACUGAAGGUUGUGGAGGAUUUUGUGAACAGCUGGCUAGCUAACAAAGGUCACACUGACAUAAUACCGUUAAUUAAGCAAGAAGGAGACGAGGAUAGGAGUCAGCAGUCAGUGUCCAAACCUGGCAAGGGCACUGUGCCCUUGGUGCAACAUCAGGAUGGGGGAGAGGAUCGUUAGUUAGAAACAUGAAGAAAAUAUGUAAACAGCUGCAGCAUAGUAGCCUCAAGAAUGAUAAGGUAGGCGUAGUUAGCUGAUAAGUAACUAACCAAUAAUGAGCUCGCUUUUUGCAAUAUGUAUUAGCCUCAUUAACACCAAUAUAAAUGUAUGUGCCUAUCAAUAAAGUUUUGAGAUUUGCU